AGUCCGUCAGGCUGAACGGGACCAACCGGUGUUCAGGCCGACUGGAGGUGAAGUCCGACGAGUCGUGGUCAUCGGUGUGUGAAGGGGAGUUUGACCAGCAGGUUGCAGAGGUGGUCUGCAGGGAGCUGGACUGUGGGGCUCCUUCAGUCCUCCAGGGGGCGCUCUAUGGAGAAGUGGAGGCUCCAGUGUGGAGCAGAGAGUUCCAGUGUGAAGGAAAUGAGUCUCAUCUCCUGGAGUGUCACAGAUCAACCUGCUCAUCCGGCCGAGCACUUGGACUCACCUGCUCAGGUCCACGCAGAGUCAGGUUGGUGGGAGGAGCCAGUCGCUGCGCUGGUGAACUGGAGAUGAACCACCAGAGAGAGUGGAGACCAGUGACUGUCGGGGUUGGAUGGAACCAGAUAUCAGUGGAUAAAGUUUGCACACAUCUGGAUUGUGGAUCUGCUGUUUCAACAAAAGUUACGGGAUAAUUCUCCAUACAGACGUGUGUGGUGGAUCGAUAACGACUGUGUCCAGUCCGAAUCUGAACUCAGGGAAUGUGUGAAGCUGACUGAUCUUUAUAAAACCAAGAAAGGCCAUGAAGUGAUCUGCUCAGGUAACCUGCUGUCGUCAGGCGACCUCCUCAGAGGAGGUUAUGUUCUCGCUCCCGUCCAUUCGUAUGUUUGUUGGUUUGUUUAUUCGUCGGCAGGAUUACGCAAAAACUAUGGUGUGACGUGGGCCAAGAAAGAACCAAUGACAUGUUGGCGUGGAUCCGGACAAAGGGUCUGAUUGGCUCAGUGAUGUGAACGUCUGAGAGUCAUUCAUUCAUCACCACAGUAUAUCUGGCCUCAUCCGGCCCUUGUUCUCGUAGCUUUGCUGUACAGAAGUGAGAGCUGUGCGCCGGUCGUCACGCUUCAUCUCUCUGUGUUUACAGGUUUGCUGGUUCAGCCAAACGUCUCCGUCUCGCCCAUUGUUGGGGUCUCCAGAGCCGAGCAGCAGGGGUAUCAUGUGCUCCUGGGCUCCAGCUUCACCGUCACGUGUUCUACUGAACCACAGUACCAAGGAGGCUCCUUCCACCUUCUCUUCACCACCUCCGACACGGCACACAACUACACCCUGCCGGCUGUCAAUCACUCCGCCCACUUCCUGUUCCCUGCUGCGCGCAGCGCCCACCGAGGGGACUACACAUGUGUUUACCACGCCUACGUUUUCUCCUAUAACUUCUCUUCCGAGAGCCGGCCUCUCCAUGUCAUUGUCUCAGGUAUCUUCCUGGAGAAUCUGUGCAGAUGUGUCGUGGUGCUGCUGCUUCUGACGGUGUCGACCCUCAUCCUCUACUUCCACUUCAAGGUGACGGACACACACCCAGCGUCCAUCCUUCAUCAGAGGAGAGAUGUUGAAUUAGCGCUAACAGGAAGUGUCUGCUGUCGUGUGUUUCCAGGCCGAAGGACGCCGGAGGAGACAGAGGCCUGA
rnacentral:lncRNA from 1 species